rnacentral:rRNA from 1 species
CGGAAGUACGCAUCGGAUACUGGGCGUAAGCGCGCGUAGGUGGUUCAGCAAGUUGGAUGUGAAAUCCCCGGGCUCAACCUGGGAACUGCAUCCAAAACUACUGAGCUAGAGUACGGUAGAGGGUGGUGGAAUUUCCUGUGUAGCGGUGAAAUGCGUAGAUAUAGGAAGGAACACCAGUGGCGAAGGCGACCACCUGGACUGAUACUGACACUGAGGUGCGAAAGCGUGGGGAGCAAACAGGAUUAGAUACCCCCCGUAGUCCCA